rnacentral:lncRNA from 1 species
CACACUGGCAGUGGGGGAGGAUGGUGGUGGCAGGAGAGGAAGAAGGAGGAGGAGGUGUGGAAGCUGAGACCGCACAGCUCCAAGAGGCACAGCUGGGAUUCAUUCUUCGGUCUGGAGGAUCCCAAAUUUGCCCAUCACGAGAGCGCCCUGGCUUCCUCGGCUCACGGAGAAGAAGGCUGAAUGGUGGUCCUACUGGCGGGAGGAAGGGCCUGGACUGCGGCAGCGCCCAGGGUGUCAGGAG